GUUUUCCUGGAGAUCCCUGUCUACUUCAUGCUUUCUGAGGGUUACAUGGAAAUACCUCCCAUCAGCAGAAUGAGUUCAGCUGCAGUCAGACUGUGGUUUCCGAAUUUAAGGGGAAAUGUUCUCCGUCUCUCUUGAUGCAGCUGUUCUAUUUUAAUAAAUGACUCCUCGUUGGCUUAAAUAGCACGUAGCAAUAACCCUCUGCAGGUUGGGUAUAGCUCGUGUUUGAGAAACACACUUGGGGGUCCUGUAAGGAAGGAAUGCCCUAGCUGAAAGCAGCUGUAACAGCCACUGAUUAGGCUGUUCUUUAUGGAGCUGAGAGUCUGCAGUUCACUCGCAGUUCUGAACAAAGUAAAACUGAAAUUUGAAUUGGAGGCUCCUGCAGCCCAGCAAGUGCCUAAUCAUCAAACUCUAAGGUAGAUAGAGAAAUCUCUGCGUUAUCAGUAGUAGUGAAAUCCUGUUCUGAGUUGAGUCGUCAGUUUAAAACUGCACCUCCUUUUCUAGAAACAAAGAAAUAACUCUUCAGUGUGAUGUGCUGUACUUUUUCCCAGAACAACAACGAGAAAAGUAAAUAACGAUUUGCAUACCUGUUUCAUAAAGUGAAUUUAUCAAACUAUAUGUUAAAAUUUUCAUUGUCAUUUAUAGGCAAAAAAAAAAAAAAAAUCCUAACAAUCCAGAUUUCUGCUAUGCAGUAAUGAUCUUUUGGUAGAACAUAUAGUAGUCUUAGAAUGAUUGAGGCAGUAACUCCCACUUCAGUUUUUUUCUGGCGUCAGGGUCUGUUAAGCACUGAGAAAUACUAAUAGUCACCUAUUUAGAUGAUGAGCCCAUCUUGUUUCCAUAUCCUUGUAUCUAAUGUAGCAUGAGCUGGCAAUAGUCAUUUUAUUUGACUUGUUUUGACUCAGUGUUAUAAUUUGCCUCUGCAAACUGAAAAUAGAGAACACAGGAUUUGUGGAGGAGAGGUAAAAGAUGACAUUAAAUGAAUUAGCCCUGUUUUCAGAUCUAGCACUACUAACAUC
rnacentral:lncRNA from 1 species